UUUGUUUUUGUUUUUGUUUUUUUGCCAGUAAGGAGGAACUUCUAAUGUCUUAUGACAUAAAACUAGUUUUCUUGUAGAAAUUCUGAAGCUAGCUUAUCUCUAAGUAUGCCUACUUUUGGUGGUCUGUAUACAUCAUUCUGUUUUAUUUUCCAGUAAUAUUGAGGUAUAGUUGACAUACAGCAUGACUUUAAGGUGUACAGCAUAAUGAUUUGACUUAUAUAGAGAAUCUCCAUUUCU